CAAGUCGAGCGCCGUAGCAAUACGGAGCGGCAGACGGGAGAGUAACACGUGGGAACGUGCCCUUCAGUUCGGAACAACCCAGGGAAACUUGGGCUAAUACCGGAUACGUCCGUAAGGAGAAAGAUUUAUCGCUGAAGGAUCGGCCCGCGUCUGAUUAGCUAGUUGGUGGGGUAAUGGCCCACCAAGGCGACGAUCAGUAGCUGGUCUGAGAGGAUGAUCAGCCUCACUGGGACUGAGACACGGCCCAGACUCCUACGGGAGGCAGCAGUGGGGAAUAUUGGACAAUGGGCGCAAGCCUGAUCCAGCCAUGCCGCGUGGGUGAUGAAGGCCCUAGGGUUGUAAAGCCCUUUCGGCGGGGAAGAUAAUGACGGUACCCGCAGAAGAAGCCCCGGCUAACUUCGUGCCAGCAGCCGCGGUAAUACGAAGGGGGCUAGCGUUGCUCGGAAUCACUGGGCGUAAAGCGCACGUAGGCGGCUUUUUAAGUCAGGGGUGAAAUCCUGGAGCUCAACUCCAGAACUGCCUUUGAUACUGAGAAGCUUGAGUCCGGGAGAGGUGAGUGGAACUGCGAGUGUAGAGGUGAAAUUCGUAGAUAUUCGCAAGAACACCAGUGGCGAAGGCGGCUCACUGGCC
rnacentral:rRNA from 1 species